AAGGGGAUGUAUAUCAUAAGCAUCAGAAAAAUUUAAAUAGAACAGUAUGAAAUUUCAGGAAGAAUGUAAGUUUCAAAAAUGUAGGUAUGAUACACAAUUUUUAAAAAAGAUUUUAUUUAUUUAUUCAUGAGAGACACAAAGAGAGAGACAGAGACAUAGGUAGAGGGAGAAGCAGUCUCCAUGUAGGGAGCCUGAUGUAGGACUCAAUUCCAGGACCUCAGGAUCAUGAUCCCAGCCAAAAGCAGAUACUCAACUACUGAGCACCCACUCAACCACUGGGCCACCCAGGCGCCCCGAUACACAGUUUUUAAUGAUUAAGAUCAGGGAUAAGAAUGUCAUAAGGUAUUUGAUGGUUAAGAAUUCUUUGGUAAUUUUUGAAGAGCAGCUUCCCAAAUUCAUGAGAGACAAAGCAAAGAAACAAAAAGUAAAUUAUAUUUUCUCUUCUGGCCAACAUAGAGAGAAAGGGUCCAGAUUUAUCCUUCAAAACAAAAACAACACAAAAAAGAGGUGGGGAGCAAUGUAAAACAAUAGUUUGUAAGACACUGGACAUCAGGCAGUAGAGAUUGAUCUCUGAGAGAUAGAAAACAAAUGAGGUGAGCCCUAUGGUCACCCCAGCUUACUUAAUGAGUUUCUAGGACAUGGCUCAGGGAGGGGGAACCCAGGCAGAGACCAAUGUUCACUCUAAAUUUAGGAGAUGAAGGUAAGAUACAUUGGAGAAUAAAAUGGGUAGGUAGACUUCUCAAGACCAGAAAGUAGAAUUUUAUGCAGAGAGAGAACUUCAGAAACUUUAAGACCCUACCCCCAUCUCAAUUGUUCAACUGAUUAUUGAUCUGCUCGUGUUGGUGAGGAAGUUACCCAAGAAAUGAAUUACCUAAAAAAAAUUAUAAGUAACAGUGCCUGGCACUUAUCCCAGGCCUAGAAAAGUGAUUGUUCCCGCUAGCCAGACUUAAAAUCUCAAGAUUCACAGGCAUUAGCUAGUGUACAUGGAAGAGUCUUGUCUCAAUAGUAAGGGAUCAUUUGCCAUAGAUUGAGCACUGCUCUGUUUCUGUCUAUCAAACCUAAAAAGGACCCAAAAGGAUCAGAGCAUUUCCAAGCAAUUUAACAGCAUGUAGAAACAAGUGUCAAAAAUAUUUAUAUAAUUAUUGGGGUGCCUGGGUGGCUCAUUUGGUUAAGCAUCUGACUCUUGAUUUUGGUUCAGGUUGUAAUCUCAGGGUCAUGGGAUUGAGCCCCAAAUCAGGCUCUGUGCUUGGCAUGGAGUCUGCUUGUCCCUCUGCCUCUACUUCCCCUCCAUUUGCGCUCUCUCUCUCUCAUAAAUAAAUAAAUAAAUAAAUAAAUAAAUAAAUUGAUUUAAAAAAAUUUAUAUACUUACAAAACUACCCAGUACCCACCUGGGUAAAAUUCACUAUUUCUGACAUCCAAAAAUAAAUUACUAGGGUGCAAGAGGAAGUAACAUGCUUCUCAUAAUUAAGAGAUGAACCAAUCAAUCAAAACUAAUCCAUAAUUGACACAGAUGUUAAAAUUAUUAGGGGAAGACAUUAGAACAGUUUUAAUGUCUAUAUUCCAAAUGUUCAAAAAAUUAAGUAGAGAUAUGGGAAGAUAAACUAAACCAAACUUCUAGAGAUGAGAAUUUCAAAGUGUGAGGUGAAAAUUAUAUUUUAAGGCAUUCAUGACAGAUCAGAUAUUGCAGAAAAAAAGAUUAUUGUACUUUAAGAUUUAGCAAGAGAAAUGACAUGAAAUACAUCACAAAAGGGGAAAAAAACACUUAAAAUGAGAAUAGCAUCAGUCAGCUGUAUUAAACUUCAAAGUGACCUAAUAUGUGGAUAACUGGAGUCUAUGAAGAAGAGAAGAAAAAUGCAGAGCAGAAAAGACAUCUGAAGAAAUUAUGGCAAUUUCCCCCCAAACUUGAUGGAAACUAUAAACACACAAAUUCAGGAUGUUUAACAAGCCUCAACCACAAGAAACAAAAAAUGACAAACAUGGCACAUCAUACUCAAUUUGCUCCAAAACAAUUAUAAAGAGAACAUCUUAAAUGCAGUCAAAGGGGAAAAAAAGGACACAUUAUGUUAAAAAAAAAAACCAGAGUGAUUUUAUACCUCUCCUCCAAAACAAUGCAAAUGAGAAAACAAUGGAACCAUCCUUUUUUUAAUAAAGAUUUUAUUCAUUUAUUUGAGAGAGAGAGAGAAUGAGCUGUGGAAGGGGCAGAGGGAGAAGGACAAGCAGACUCCCUGCUGAGCAGGGAGCCUGAUGUGGGGCUCAAUCCCAGGACCCUGAGAUCAUGACCUGAGCCGAAGUCAGAUGCUUAAACAACUGAGCAGCCUAUGCACCCCAGAGCCAUCAUUUUUUAAAAAAGAUUUAUUUAUUUAUUUUGGGGGUGGAGGGGCAGAGGAAGAGAGAGAAUCUUAAUGAGAUUUCCUACCCAGAAUAGAGCCCAAUACAGGGUUCAACCUCCCAACCCCGAGACUAUGACCUGAGCUGAAAAUCCAAGAGUUGGAUGCUUAACUAACUGAGCCACCCAGGCACCUGGAGCCAUCUUUUUUAAAGUAAUGAAAGACAAAACCUAUCAUCCUAGAGUUCUAUGCACAGAGAAAACAUCUUUAAAAAUAUCUUAAAAAGGGCAGCCCUGGUGGUGCAGCGGUUUAGCGCCACCUGCAGCCCAGGGUGUGAUCCUGGAGACCCGGGAUCGAGUCCCACGUCAGGCUCCUGCAUGGAGCCUGCUUCUCCCUCUGCCUGUGUCUCUGUCUCUGUCUCUCUCUCUCUCUUUCUCUGUGUGUGUCUCUCAUGAAUAAAUAAAUACAAAUCUUUAAAAAAAUCUUAAAAAAAACAAGGCAAAAUAAGAAAAAAUUCAAACAUAGAAGAACAAUUUCAUCACCAGCAGACAUAGAGUACAGUAUACUUUUCUUCUUCCUGAAGGAAAAUGAUAUAAUAGAUAUAUUGAUCUACACAAAGGAAGUUUCAAUAAUGAAAUUGAUUAUUAAAUGAGUAAAUAUUUUUAGAUGUUAAAAUAUAUUUAAGAGUGAUAUAUAUAGCUUUUAAGCCAAAGUAAUUAAAAGUAGUGUGGAGGUUAUAAAAUAUAUAAAAGUUAAUGAAUGUCCUCAUGCUACAGGC
rnacentral:lncRNA from 1 species